rnacentral:tRNA from 2 species
UACAUACUAGCCGAAUUGGUAAGGCACUUGAAUCAAGAUCAAGCAACUACGGGUUCAAAUCCCGUGUGUG